UCAGAUUACCAUAUGGGGUUUGA
rnacentral:miRNA from 12 species